GAUGAAGAAGGCAGCGAAAUGCGAUAAGUAAUGUGAAUUGCAGAAUUCAGUGAAUCAUCGAAUCUUUGAACGCACAUUGCGCCCCUUGGUAUUCCGAGGGGCAUGCCUGUUCGAGCGUCAUUAUAACCCCUCAAGCUCAGCUUGGUGUUGGGGCCUGCUGCACUGGCAGCCCUUAAAAUCAGUGGCGGCGCCAUCUGGCUCUAAGCGUAGUAAUUCUUCUCGCUAUGGAGUCCUGGUGGAUGCUUGCCAUCAACCCCCAAUUUUUCUAUGGUUGACCUCGGAUCAGGUAGGGAUACCCGCUGAACUUAAGCAUAUCAAUAAGCGGAGGA
rnacentral:misc_RNA from 1 species